GUUGAAAUACUGGUUCUCAUAUGAUCACUGAUGUUAAGCAAUGUCAAGCUUGGUCAGUACCUAGAUUGGUGACCAUUUGAGAAUACCAGGUGCUGUAAG